rnacentral:tRNA from 1 species
CUAUAGCUCAGUCGGUUAGAGCAGUGGACUCAUAAUCCAUGGGUCACAGGUUCGAGUCCUGUUGGGG